AAAAAGUUGAAUUUAUCGAAGAAAGUUUAAUUCUGGCUUAAUAAAAUUUGUUGUAGAAUAGUUGUACAUGUGAAUAUUUGUGGGAUUGAUCAAAUCUUAAUGAUAAGGCGCCUUUUGAUUUGCAGUUCUUAAUUUUAAGACUUAGGGAAUCCUAGAUUUAGUUAAUUCUAAGAAUUUUGACAAAGGUUGUGCCAGCAGUCGCGGUUAAACAACCGGGGUGAAUGAAUUGAUUAGGUAUUGAUUUAAUUAUAAUGUGUUAAGUAAUUGUAUAUUUUUAGGUGAAAUUAGAAGUAUAUUAAAUUUAUGAUGGUGAUUAAAUCGGAAAGUUUGCAAUUAAAUUAGGAUUAGAUACCCUAUUAUUUUGAACUGUUAAUUUUAUUACCUUAGUAUUAAUAGUUAUGUUCUUAAAAUUAAAAGAAUUUGGCGGUAAUUUAGUCUUUUUAGAGGAACCUGUCCUAUAAUUGAUAAUCCACGAUUAAUUCUACUUUAUUUAUUACUUAUAUACCUCUGUCAUGAAUGUUUUAUUAGAAUAUUUUCUGUAAUCCUUAUUGGGGUUUAUGUCAGGUAAAGGUGUAGUUAUAAUAAAGGAGAGAUGGGUUACAUUAAUAUUAUUUAUGGAUUUAAUUAUGUAAAUAUUAAUGAAAUUGGAUUUAGAAGUAAAUAUUAUUAGAAUAUAAUUUUGAUAAAAGCUCUGAAUUAUGCACAUAUCGCCCGUCGCUCUUACUGAAAAUUAAGGUAAGAUAAGUCGUAACAAAGUAGGCCUACCGGAAGGUGGGCCUGGUUAGU
rnacentral:ncRNA from 1 species